GGAAGUAAAGGUCGUAACAAGGUUUCCGUAGGUGAACCUGCGGAAGGAUCAUUAUUGUAUAACCGAGGUGCGAGGGCUGUCGCUGACCCGAAAGGUCGUGCACGCCCGAGUGCCCUCACACACAUCCAUCUCACCCCUAUGUGCAUCACCGCGUGGGUCCCCCUUUGGCUUGUUCGGAGGGGGGCUUACGUUUUCACACAAACUUUGUAUGCAGUGUAGAAUGUAUUUUUUGUUUUUGCGAUCACGCAAUCAAUACAACUUUCAACAACGGAUCUCUUGGCUCUC
rnacentral:misc_RNA from 1 species